AAAAUAAUAUGAACAACAAUAGUGAUACUUGUCCUAGCUGAAAUCAAGGUAUUGAAGAAGUGAACUUCCCCUUGUGUUGAUAUUUUGGGUUAGGUUCUGUGAUCAAGCUGGAAGCAUCAGUCUUAGUUAUUGGUAGAUUGUUUAACAUGUAAAUAUCUUUAAGUGUAAUGGACAUAGGUCCCAUUGGCAAGAUGAAGGAGUUGCAGGUGUGAGACCAGAGUCGAAGAGAACUUGAUAUGAGUUUGGGGCAGAAUGGAGGUGCAAAGCAAGUCAAGUAAAUUAAUUUCUCAAUAACGAUCUUAUGCCAGGAGCCUAAGUAUAUAAGAGAUAACCUGUCAAUUCACUCAGCCUAUCCAAUUGUGUAUCUUGGCCAAUACUUAAUCUCCUCGGUUUAAGAAUAAUUUUUAGGGUGUUCUAAUUAAAUAUCUCAUUAAUUUGGCUAAGGGGAAAAGGAAAAUCAGGAAAACAGUAGCAGUAUGCAAAGGACUAAUGCUGACAUUGGCCACAUCUAGGUCUUAUUGUCACAGAUGAACCAGUUGUACAAGGACCAGUACUCGAAGAGCUACUGAAUGAAAAAGGAGAACAACUUGAGGUAGCAUCAGCAGAAGCAAUAACAGCACCUGGUCAGAGAAAAUUUUGGCAGAGUUUCCUCUGCAUCGGGAACGGACAGAAACUUGACCUAGUAUAUGUCAAGUAUGGACCGAAACAACAUGGGAAUCGUUGAAGAUGAACUAAAAGCUAUCGGCGAAGAGGUUUGCCGGUCGUGGAUGCUGAGCGACUGCAAGUACGACUAAAGGAGAGCCGACGUUAGUCAUGGUACAAUG
rnacentral:misc_RNA from 1 species